rnacentral:rRNA from 1 species
CAGUAGCCGCGGUAAUACAGAGGGUGCGAGCGUUAAUCGGAUUUACUGGGCGUAAAGCGUGCGUAGGCGGCUUCUUAAGUCGGAUGUGAAAUCCCUGAGCUUAACUUAGGAAUUGCAUUCGAUACUGGGAAGCUAGAGUAUGGGAGAGGAUGGUAGAAUUCCAGGUGUAGCGGUGAAAUGCGUAGAGAUCUGGAGGAAUACCGAUGGCGAAGGCAGCCAUCUGGCCUAAUACUGACGCUGAGGUACUAAAGCAUGGGGAGCAAACAGGAUUAGAUACCCGUGUAGUCCCUGUCUCUUAUAA